rnacentral:rRNA from 1 species
UACGUAGGGUGCAAGCGUUGUCCGGAAUUAUUGGGCGUAAAGAGCUCGUAGGCGGUUUGUCGCGUCUGCUGUGAAAACUGGAGGCUCAACCUCCAGCCUGCAGUCGAUACGGGCAGACUGGAGUUCGGCAGGGGAGACUGGAAUUCCUGGUGUAGCGGUGAAAUGCGCAGAUAUCAGGAGGAACACCGGUGGCGAAGGCGGGUCUCUGGGCCGAUACUGACGCUGAGGAGCGAAAGCGUGGGGAGCGAACAGG